UACGGAGGGGGCUAGCGUUGUUCGGAAUUACUGGGCGUAAAGCGCGUGUAGGCGGCCAAGCAGGUCCGCUGUGAAAACUCGAGGCUCAACCUCGAGAGGUCGGUGGAAACCGUUUGGCUAGAGUCCGGAAGAGGAGAGUGGAAUUCCUGGUGUAGCGGUGAAAUGCGCAGAUAUCAGGAAGAACACCCGUGGCGAAGGCGGCUCUCUGGGACGGUACUGACGCUGAGACGCGAAAGCGUGGGGAGCGAACAGG
rnacentral:rRNA from 1 species